rnacentral:misc_RNA from 1 species
AAAAAGGAAAAAAAAAAAAAAAAGCUCUUGCUUUGACUGGAAAACAGAGGACAAUGGCCAGCCAAAGGUAAACUCACGUUAUCAUCCAAGAAGUUAGGAAUUAGGAAUAUAGGAUAUAACAUUAGAAAAAUUGUGGGAACAGGGAUUUAUGUUAAAUGGCAAUAUAUCAGUGAGAUUCACCUUUGCAUUGAUUGACUAUUUUUUAUUCUUCUUCUUUCCGAAAUCAAUUAAGAAUAGAAAACAAAAUCUGCUGACGAUCUUGAUGUUUUAGGCGUGGUUCAUUUAAAGUAAUUAUAUACUAACUGGUCAUGUAUUGCACCACCUUCAUUUCCAUGACCAUGUGUGCUUUUUUAACCAUUGCUUACCAUAUUGGUUGAAUAAUCAUGGCAUGCUUGAGUUGCAGUUACAGAGGCCAAUAUUACUUUCUGCUGCAACUUGAUUAAAAUUCUUGACCUUUCUUAUUUCCCCUGAGAAAGAAAAAUUGAUCAGCUGCUUUUUCCGAGGUGUUGCUUUGUUAAAUAUUUCUCUGCUUCAUUGCUGGCCCUUUAACUUCUUCAGGUAACCUUUUUCUGAUAAGGGUCUUCUUGUGUAGGAGGGUCUUGGUGAUGGAGUGCAUUGAUGGAAUCCCAAUCCUGAA